CUAGAAUAAGCAUUGUGAGUUUGAGUGUGAGUUUCUUCUUCAGAACCAGCAGCCAGGGGACUGGUUGGCUGAUUGUAGGAAAGGGCAUUGAAACAGAGGGGAUUAGGGUAUUGAGCUAUAUUAAAGAACAAUUGAAGAUGUUGAAUGUUAAAGAAAAAAAGUCCAGUCUUCAGAAAGACAGAGAAGGUUACUAAAAAGUUAACAGGAAGGGACGAUGCCAUUAACAUAAAGGUUUACAUCCAAAGACACAGAAGAUCAAGGCUUCCAAGGGCCCUUCAGAAUGCCGUGGUAACAUCAACCCUAGUGACCUGAAAUUGUCGAGCUAAAUCCCACUGGAAAAUUCUCAUCAUAUUUCAAGAGAGCCCUUGGACUUUUGUUAGGAUGGACUUAACUCUCAUCUUUGAAAAAAGACAGUGUUCCCAUGGUGAUGAGGAUGACAUCAUCGGGACUGGUUCCUGCCGUGAAUACAGUCCCAUUGAUCACCACGGGAAUAGAUGGAAUAAGAGAUAACAGGAUUUUCUGUACAAACACAGUCUACCACUCCCUUAAAGGACCCCAAGAAGAUAUGGAAUUGAUGCAUCAUCCCAGAAGCACUCUAAAGACUACCCAGCAGGGCUUUCCAGCAGCCACAUGAAUGUCCUAUAAAGCCUCUCUUCACACCUGGGUCACACAAGGGUGGGAAAGACUCAGUGCUGUCCUGAAGACUGUCCAGUUCCUGAAAUCCAUAUGUUCACUGGAUCUUUACGUGUACAACAUUCCUCUUUAGCCCUCACUGGCGAGCAUCCUCUCAUGCCAGUGUCUCCACUCUUAACUACUCUCCCCUCCUCCCUCCUGGAAUCUUGGAGGAUUUCUGAGAGUCUACCAUCAUUGCAACACAUUUCUCCUCCAUUAUAACAUCAGCCAUGCCACACUUUCCAUCCUAACUGCUAGCAAUAGACACUUGCAUGUAAUAAAAAAUAUUAAUUGAAUUAAUUAAGAGAAAAACAGACAUAUCAAGGGGUUGCUGUGAGGGACACUAUAUUGUCUCUUUUCAUAUAUAUGUAUAUAUGUAAUGUUGCUG
rnacentral:lncRNA from 1 species